rnacentral:rRNA from 1 species
UACGUAGGGUGCAAGCGUUAAUCGGAAUUACUGGGCGUAAAGCGUGCGCAGGCGGUUUUGUAAGUCUGUCGUGAAAUCCCCGGGCUCAACCUGGGAACUGCGUUUGAAACUACAAGGCUAGAGUGUAGCAGAGGGGGGUAGAAUUCCACGUGUAGCAGUGAAAUGCGUAGAGAUGUGGAGGAAUACCGAUGGCGAAGGCAGCCCCCUGGGCCAAUACUGACGCUCAUGCACGAAAGCGUGGGGAGCAAACAGG